CCGAGAUGUCUACUGUUGCCUUCGCGAUAUUAGGCUCGCUGACACUGGGUUCGUUUUGAAAAAGAGUACCUCCAGUUCCAGCACCUGGUUCAGAAGGGCGGCUGUUGCCGGCAUCCUCCAUUCCGUGGACAUGGCUAGCAAUUACCACACCCACGACCACAUAUAAAAUCGGAAGCUGCAUGGUAGCAGUCAGGAGGUAGCAGUAUAACGCGCAAGUGCGAUGAGUGCCUACCUACCUACUGGAACCCAUUGAAACACCGUAUGCCAAACUGAGAGGAUAUCUCCCGUCUAUCUGAAAAACAAAAGCUCGGGGAAUGGAGGCAGCAUUUCAUGCGUUAUCGCGACAGCGGUUUUGGCACCAGUCCACUUCUGAGUCGCCGUGGGGUCUCAGAUACUGCGGAGCACUUCAUAAAUGAGCCGCGGCAAACCCCCUGGAUAUGCUACGAAAUUCACUAUCCCCUUUGAACCUCUUGCAACACUGCUUGUCCGUCGUCCUGUUCCAAGGCUCCACAACGCAUUUGCAAGAAAAGUGCGAUAUGUUCCCCCCGAACAAGCCGAUCAGCAGAUCACCGAUGUUUGGCUGAUGUCGUCGUCUCUAAUGGCCCUCCUGCUUGUGGCUCGGCAGAAAAAAACCGCCACCUUUGUCCGUGACGCAUAAAAACAAGUGAUUUCUCGCACUGCUCAGUGCUCAUGGUUUAUUUCGGGAUUCUAUGGAGUCAGUUUACAUUAUCGUUCUGCAACCCGUGGUUGUUGCGAACGAAGGUCGAAAUGUGGCCGCAACGGAUAAGGAUUUGUCUGGGGCGGUUUUUUUCCGGGGGUUCCUGAUGGAUGGGCACGACGUGUGUCUGCCUCCCAAUAAAGCUUCAGCUAAGACGACUUUUUGGAGCGUCAGACUCAAUUUUCCGCGUGUAUAACGGGUUAACAUGAACAUUCUAUAAUCCAUUUUUGGGGGUUGGCGCGUGGCUGAAUGUGUUGACGUAUGUGCCAACUGUAGCGUAUCUAAAUACGAGUUUCAUGCGUGCUCCAGGGAUCGUGUGGAGCUGAAAACUCCAUGUGGCCGGAUUUAGGAAACGGGAAGCAAGAAGGCGAGUCACGCCCGGCACUGUCGCUGGACCUAGUUGUGGCCUAAACGGGAAUUCACAGGUGAUGGGCAGCUGUCAAUAAAUACAUUCCGGAUUGACAGGGGAGGAGACACAAGCGCGCAGCCGUUCUCGGCCGAGUGGAAUUGCUCUGAUGUCGAACGAACGUUGGCAUGCGAAUAUGAGACAGAUCUAUAAUUAUCAUUUUAACGUGCAUGCAUACGCCCUAGACUGCUGUAACCGCUGGAAUGUCACCAGAUACAGGAGGUACAGUUCUUCGGAACUCACUGCAACAGCAGUUUGACAUUUCACACUGAUAGCACGAGGCCAAGAUGUAAUUUGUCUUUGCUUUCCCGAUGAUGCCCGUGAGAGAUUCGUUUGCAAGUACUUCGAAGCAGGCCGGAACCCUGUUCGCAGUAGCUGAAGGCCCUGAGUAACUGCCGGCGGGUUCCGCGGAGAUUAGCACGUUCCUGCGCAGGCAAGAUGCUCCGAAUAGCCGCACUCUCGGGAACCCGGAAUGCUGUAGAAUAGUCGUGAAACUGAUGGCGGCAGGAUCAGUGACAAUUUUUGGAGAACCCGUAACUUUGAGUUAUUUGCUCUGACUUAACGAAAUACGGAGAACUAUUCGCUAAGGCAACAACACAUACGGUACUCCAAUGCAUUGGCGGUUGGGUGGAACAGAGGGCCGACAUUCCGAUAAUUCGUAACGAACGAAAAGGUGGGACGCCAUGGGAACUGCACAAGAAAGAGCGGCAGUGAAAAAUAAGCCAGGGGAACUGGCGGCAGACCGUUUCACCUACCCGCUGGUCGUCGGCAGUGCACUCAUCGGCGUCGCUGCUGCGCUCUUCUCGCUCUGUAUUGGUUUAUACGUCACCUACGUUUGCUGGGCAGAUCUCAACGGAGGUAAGGGCAUGCAAGCAGCUCUAGAACCCCAUAAAUGGCGUUACAGCUAAGAGGUGCACGAUAACCGAUCUCCUGUCCCUGAACAGCAUCUUAGUCAGCCCUCCACGUCGCUGGAAACUCGGAGAUCCUUCUUUAGGAAGCGUAUCGCGUCUAUGUGAACCGCUGCCUAUUCAGAUAGUAAGCAGUGUGCACCGUAACGUGUCUCCCAGAUGACCACUUUGUGUGGCAGGCAUUCUGUUCACUGGUCUCGCUUGCACCUUGCACCAAAGAGUUGUGGGUCCAGUUGCAAUUACCUUCGGACUCUUUGGAGUUAGCGCGACGGUCUUCAUACUUGCCCAAGGAUUUGUUACUCCCGGCGUUCUCGUGGCCACGCUGGACUCGCUCGGUGGUGGUGGUCCAGCCGUCGCGUGGAGCUGGGUAGAUACUCCGCACCGGUAAAAAAUGACACUCUUCCGCUACCACUACCGCACUCCACUGAUGUGUUUGAUCUUUACGUAGAGGCGAACGCUCAAUCUGCUAGGUCGUUGCACGAGAACCCCCGAAGCCGAAGUGUGAACAGAUAAUCUCCACAUUUUGACGCUUGACCAUUGUCUGCUGUCACGUUGUCACUGUCUCGCUGAGAACUCGGCUCCACUUUUUCGAGUAGUAAGAUGCAGGUGCUCUUGCUGCUAUAUCGUUCUAACCUGUCAACUCUUUGUCGCUGGCGUCACAGUGUCUACUGGGAACUCCACUGUUGGUCACUGCCUCGUGGCUUCAUUGCUUCUUCAACUUCUCGCAUUCGCUGCAUGCUCACAUGAAAGUUUUGAAUGGUUCCCACGUAGAGAUUGGGUGCCGCCCAUUGCAUGGCAUGCGUGUUUUCUCCAGUGCGUACCUGCAGCUGAUGCUGCAUAUGUUUCGAUGUCUCAAAUGUGUUUUUAUCCAUCGUCUGCUUCUACCACGCAAAUGACGUUUCUUCAGACGCAUCCAUUGACAGAUACAAGUGAACAGCUGAGCUGUCU
rnacentral:lncRNA from 1 species